ACUGCGGUAGUGUAGUGGUUAGCAUUUGUGCUUACCAAGUAAGAAGACCCGGGUUCGAGUCCCGGCCGCAGCA